rnacentral:rRNA from 1 species
CCUACGGGAGGCAGCAGUGAGGAAUAUUGGUCAAUGGGCGCGAGCCUGAACCAGCCAAGUCGCGUGAGGGAAGACGGUCCUAUGUAUUGUAAACCUCUUUUGACGGGGAGCAAAAGACGCCACGCGUGGCGUUCCGAGAGUACCCGAAGAAAAAGCAUCGGCUAACUCCGUGCACGCAGACGCGGUAAUACGGAGGUUGCGAGCGUUAUCCGGAUUUAUUGGGUUGAAAGGGUGCGCAGGCGGCAGAGCAAGUCAGCGGUAAAAUUGAGAAGCUCAACCUCUGCGAGCCGGUGAAACGGGUUUUCUUGAGUGAGCGAGAAGUAUGCGGAAUGCGUGGUGUAGCGGUGAAAUGCAUAGAUAUCACGCAGAACUCCGAUUGCGAAGGCAGCAUACCGGCGCUCAACUGACGCUCAUGCACGAAAGUGUGGGUAUCGAACAGGAUUAGAUACCCUUGUAGUC